AACAACUCGACUCGUCAGAACGGCCUCACUGCUUCCGCCGGCAUCCCACGGGGCUCUCACCCUCCUGGGCGCCCUGUUCCAAGGGACUUGGACACCGCCUUCCACACAGACUCCAACCUGCAAUCUACAACUCGUGCCGCAAAGCACGAUUUCAAAUCUGAGCUCUUGCCGCUUCACUCGCCGCUACUGAGGCAAUCCCUGUUGGUUUCUUUUCCUCCGCGCUUAUUGAUAUGCA
rnacentral:rRNA from 1 species